AAACCAGCACCUCAAGUGGUCAGGAGGAUUAUUGGGCCUAAAGCAUCCGUAGCCUGUUCUAUAAGUUUCCGGUUAAAUCCAUUAGCUCAACUAAUGGCCUGCCGGAAAUACUGUAGAGCUAGGAAGUGGGAGAGGUAGACGGUACUCGGUAGGAAGGGGUAAAAUCCUUUGAUCUAUUGAUGACCACCUGUGGCGAAGGCGGUCUACCAGAACACGUUCGACGGUGAGGGAUGAAAGCUGGGGGAGCAAACCGGAUUAGAAACCCGUGUAGUCC
rnacentral:rRNA from 1 species